AUUGAACGCUGGCGGCAGGCCUAACACAUGCAAGUCGAACGGUAACAGGAAGAAGCUUGCUUCUUUGCUGACGAGUGGCGGACGGGUGAGUAAUGUCUGGGAAACUGCCUGAUGGAGGGGGAUAACUACUGGAAACGGUAGCUAAUACCGCAUAAUGUCGCAAGACCAAAGAGGGGGACCUUCGGGCCUCUUGCCAUCGGAUGUGCCCAGAUGGGAUUAGCUAGUAGGUGGGGUAACGGCUCACCUAGGCGACGAUCCCUAGCUGGUCUGAGAGGAUGACCAGCCACACUGGAACUGAGACACGGUCCAGACUCCUACGGGAGGCAGCAGUGGGGAAUAUUGCACAAUGGGCGCAAGCCUGAUGCAGCGAUGCCGCGUGUAUGAAGAAGGCCUUCGGGUUGUAAAGUACUUUCAGCGGGGAGGAAGGGAGUAAAGUUAAUACCUUGGCUCAUUGACGUUACCCGCAGAAGAAGCACCGGCUAACUCCGUG
rnacentral:rRNA from 1 species